GGGUUGUGAGGUUAAGCGACUAAGCGUACACGGUGGAUGCCCUGGCAGUCAGAGGCGAUGAAGGACGUGCUAAUCUGCGAUAAGCGUCGGUAAGGUGAUAUGAACCGUUAUAACCGGCGAUUUCCGAAUGGGGAAACCCAGUGUGUUUCGACACACUAUCAUUAACUGAAUCCAUAGGUUAAUGAGGCGAACCGGGGGAACUGAAACAUCUAAGUACCCCGAGGAAAAGAAAUCAACCGAGAUUCCCCCAGUAGCGGCGAGCGAACGGGGAGCAGCCCAGAGCCUGAAUCAGUGUGUGUGUUAGUGGAAGCGUCUGGAAAGGCGCGCGAUACAGGGUGACAGCCCCGUACACAAAAAUGCACAUAUUGUGAGCUCGAUGAGUAGGGCGGGACACGUGGUAUCCUGUCUGAAUAUGGGGGGACCAUCCUCCAAGGCUAAAUACUCCUGACUGACCGAUAGUGAACCAGUACCGUGAGGGAAAGGCGAAAAGAACCCCGGCGAGGGGAGUGAAAAAGAACCUGAAACCGUGUACGUACAAGCAGUGGGAGCACGCUUAGGCGUGUGACUGCGUACCUUUUGUAUAAUGGGUCAGCGACUUAUAUUCUGUAGCAAGGUUAACCGAAUAGGGGAGCCGAAGGGAAACCGAGUCUUAACUGGGCGUUAAGUUGCAGGGUAUAGACCCGAAACCCGGUGAUCUAGCCAUGGGCAGGUUGAAGGUUGGGUAACACUAACUGGAGGACCGAACCGACUAAUGUUGAAAAAUUAGCGGAUGACUUGUGGCUGGGGGUGAAAGGCCAAUCAAACCGGGAGAUAGCUGGUUCUCCCCGAAAGCUAUUUAGGUAGCGCCUCGUGAAUUCAUCUCCGGGGGUAGAGCACUGUUUCGGCAAGGGGGUCAUCCCGACUUACCAACCCGAUGCAAACUGCGAAUACCGGAGAAUGUUAUCACGGGAGACACACGGCGGGUGCUAACGUCCGUCGUGAAGAGGGAAACAACCCAGACCGCCAGCUAAGGUCCCAAAGUCAUGGUUAAGUGGGAAACGAUGUGGGAAGGCCCAGACAGCCAGGAUGUUGGCUUAGAAGCAGCCAUCAUUUAAAGAAAGCGUAAUAGCUCACUGGUCGAGUCGGCCUGCGCGGAAGAUGUAACGGGGCUAAACCAUGCACCGAAGCUGCGGCAGCGACACUGUGUGUUGUUGGGUAGGGGAGCGUUCUGUAAGCCUGUGAAGGUGUGCUGUGAGGCAUGCUGGAGGUAUCAGAAGUGCGAAUGCUGACAUAAGUAACGAUAAAGCGGGUGAAAAGCCCGCUCGCCGGAAGACCAAGGGUUCCUGUCCAACGUUAAUCGGGGCAGGGUGAGUCGACCCCUAAGGCGAGGCCGAAAGGCGUAGUCGAUGGGAAACAGGUUAAUAUUCCUGUACUUGGUGUUACUGCGAAGGGGGGACGGAGAAGGCUAUGUUGGCCGGGCGACGGUUGUCCCGGUUUAAGCGUGUAGGCUGGUUUUCCAGGCAAAUCCGGAAAAUCAAGGCUGAGGCGUGAUGACGAGGCACUACGGUGCUGAAGCAACAAAUGCCCUGCUUCCAGGAAAAGCCUCUAAGCAUCAGGUAACAUCAAAUCGUACCCCAAACCGACACAGGUGGUCAGGUAGAGAAUACCAAGGCGCUUGAGAGAACUCGGGUGAAGGAACUAGGCAAAAUGGUGCCGUAACUUCGGGAGAAGGCACGCUGAUAUGUAGGUGAAGCGACUUGCUCGUGGAGCUGAAAUCAGUCGAAGAUACCAGCUGGCUGCAACUGUUUAUUAAAAACACAGCACUGUGCAAACACGAAAGUGGACGUAUACGGUGUGACGCCUGCCCGGUGCCGGAAGGUUAAUUGAUGGGGUCAGCGCAAGCGAAGCUCUUGAUCGAAGCCCCGGUA
rnacentral:rRNA from 1 species